GGCUUUUUGAUUUNAAUUUAAAGUCUGGCCUGCCCACUGAUUAUUUUGAAUGGCUGCGGUAUUUUGACCGUGCUAAGGUAGCAUAAUCAUUAGUUUUUUAAUUGAAGACUGGAAUGAAAGGUUUGAUGAGAAAAUUACUGUCUCUUUAUAAUUUUAUUGAAUUUUAUUUUUUUGUAAAAAAGCUUAAAUGUUUUUGAAAGACGAUAAGACCCUAUAGAGUUUUAUUAAUUUGAAAUUUAUUUGUUUUGGAGAAAUAUUUUGUUUAAGUUUUUAAUUAAUUUGGUUGGGGUGAUUGGAAAAUUAGUUAAACUUUUUUUGUUUUUAACACUAAUUAGUGUUUUUUUGAUCCAUAAUUUGUGAUUAUAAGAUUAAAUUACCUUAGGGAUAACAGCGUAAUUUUUUUUGAGAGUUCUUAUCGAAAAAAAAGAUUGCGACCUCRAUGUUGGAUUAAAAUUAAAUUUUGNUG
rnacentral:rRNA from 1 species